rnacentral:lncRNA from 1 species
GUCUCGCGAUAGCACUUCCGCUUCCCAUAACUCCGUGCGUUCGGCCGUCCCACCCUCUUUCCGCCAUCUUUCCGCGCCGUCACCAUGGUGCGCAUGAAUGUCCUGGCCGAUGCUCUGAAGA